AUGGGUGCAGGUGCACAGACAAAACACCACGUGUGGACACAGAGAGAAGGCGGCCACCUGCAGGCCAAAAAGAGAAGCCUCCGCAGAAACAAGCCUCCGUGUGCUUUGAUCUCCGACUCGCAGCCUCAGACCUGGGAGAAAACGACCAUCUGUUGUCGAAGCCCCAGGCUGUGCUAUUUUGUUCUGGCAACCGGAGGAAAUUCCUACAGAUAUGUUCACAGACGGCCCUGGCACUCCCAGGCCCAUGCCCAGGGUGAAACCUCCAGGAAACCCAAGCCCAGCGCGACCUCCCAGUCACAGGUGAAGGGCUGCCUGGCUGGCUGCUGCCCACACAGGCUCACAGCUCACAGGGAGCCCGGUCUGAAGCCCCAUCCGCUCAGAGGCGCCUUCUCCAGAAAGCCCGAGGGAAGAUGCCACCACCGCAGCUCUUCACACCGCUGUCCCUCUCUGAGCUCCAGCCUCACCCCAUCCAGGACAGAGUUACACUCAGGCCGGAGUGCAGGGCCCAGGACCAAGGCUCCCUGCAGCGUUGACCUCCCGGGCUCCAGGAUCUGUCUUCCCACCUCAGCUUCCUGAUGAGCUGAAACUACAGGUGAGUGCCCACCGCUCGCGCUUUCUCUCUCUCUCUCUCUUUUUUAAGAGAUGGAGUUUCACCAUGUUGCCCAGGCCCCAGGCUGCAUUUCUUGUUGGUAGAUAUUUGGGCUUGCUUCAGGUUUUUUUUCUUUUUCUUUUUCUUUUUAUUUUUUUGCAAUUAUGGAUAAUGCUGCUACGAACUUGUGUGCACAAGUCUUCAUGGAUAUAUGCUUUUGGUAAAUGCCUAGGAGUAGAACUUCUGGUCGCAGAAGAUGUGUAUGUUUAGUUGGAAAAAAAAAAAAAAAAAAAAAAACUUUUGGCCGAGCGCCGUGGCUCACGCCUGUUAUCCCAGCACUUUGGGAGGCUGAAGCGGGCGGAUCACAAGGUCAGGAGAUCGAGACCAUCCUGGCAAACAGGGUGAAACCCCGUUUCUACUAAAAAUACAAAAAAAUUAGCCGGGCGUGGUGGCGGACUACAGGGUCGCAGCUAUUCGAGAGGCUGAGGCAGGAGAAUGGUGUGAACCCGGGAGGCAGAGGUUGCAGUGAGCCGAGAUCGCGCCACUGCACUCCAGCCUGGGCGACAGAACCAGACUUUGUCUCAAUUAAAAAAAAAAAAACAAAAAAAAAAACAAAAAAAAAACUUUUGCCACAAAGUGGUUGUACUAGGUUGUACUAUUUUCCUCCAUCAACAAUGUCCAAGCAUUCUGGUUAUUUUUUUUAAAUUCUAGAUGUUCUUGUGGAUAUGUAGCAUUUUCCUAUGGUUUACAUUUGCAUUUAGCUGAUGAGGGAUAACGAUGUGCACAUUUUCAUGUGUUUAUGGACCAUUUGUUUAUCUUCCUUUGUGAAGUAUCUCUUCAAAUAUUUUGUCCAUUAAACAAACAAUCCCCCCCACCCCCUCCACCGCCAGUAAAAGAACUGGCCUGGAUAGUGGCUCAGCUUGUAAUCCCAACACUUUGGGAGGCUGAGGUGGGCGGAUCCCCUGAGCUCAGGAGUUUGAGACCAGCGUGGGCAACAUGGCAAAACCUGGUAGUCCACCUGUAAUCCCAGUUACCCUACUGGGGAGGCUGAGGUGGGAGGAUCGCUUGAGCCUGGGAGGCGGAGGUUUCAUUGGGCCAAAUUUGCGCCACUGCACUCCAGCCUGGGUGACACAGUGAGACCCUGUCACACACACACACACACACACACACACACACACAGAGAACUGAGUGGUUUAAACUGUAUAAUUUCAACACUUUGGGAAGCUGAGGCAGGGAGGAUCCCUGGAACUCAGGAGUUCUAUGAGACCCCAUCUGUACAAAAAAUAAAAAUAAAAAAUUAGCUGAGCGUGAUGGCCUGGGCCUGUAAUCCCUGCUACUUGGGAGGCUGAGGCAGGAGAAUCGCUUGAACCUGGAAGGCAGAGGUUACAGUGAGCUGAGAUCAUACUCCAGCCUGGGUGACAGGGUGGGACUCCAUCAAAAAAAAAAAAAAAAAAAGACACUCUUCUGUGUGUUUUUUUUUCCUGAAACUUUUAAAUUUUAGCUUCUAUGUUUAAGUGUAAAUUCUAUUUUAUAUAACUUUUUUGUUAUAUAUAUAGCCACAUUUCAAUUGUUAUAUGUUACAAAAUACUCCAAUUGAUUUUUCAACCUGUACUUUUUGCCUUUACCCACACACAGCCAGUCCAAAGAAUACAUAUUUAUAUAACUUUUUUGUUUUGGUGUGAGGUUGGGAUUAAUGUUAAUUUCUUUCCCCUAUGGUUGUUUCUGAACCAUUUGUUGCAAAGACUUUCCUUUCCAUGUUGAAUUGUUUUGGUGCCUUUGGUGAAAAUCAAAUAACUGUGUAUUUGUGGGCCCAAAUUAUGUUUUUGUUCAUUUUUGCUUUUCAAUUAAAAAUUUCAAAUAGGCCAGACAUGGUGGCUCACUCUUGCGAUCCCAACACUUUCGGUGGCCAAAGCAGGCAGAUCACUUGAGCUCACAAGUUGAAGACCAGCCUGGGCAGUAUAGCAAAACCCAUCUCUACAAAACAUAAAAAAUUGGCCGGGCAUGGUAGUGUGCACCUGUGGUCCCAGAUACUCGGGUUACCUGGGAGGCUGAUGUGGGAGGAUCGCUUGAGACUGGGAGGCAGAGAUUGCAGUGAGCCAAGAUGGUGCCACUGCACUCCAGCCUGGGUGACAGAGUGAGACCCUGUCACAAACAAACAAACAAACAAAAUAUAAAAAUAAAAUAAACCGCCGUAACAAAGAGACCUCAAAUACCAUAGCUUAAAUUAGAAAUUAAAUAAAAGUUAUUUAUCCCUUAAAAAAAUUCAAAUAGGCCAGGCAUAGUGGCCGCCCUGUGCAAUCCCAGUGCUUUGGUAGGCUGAGGCUGGAGAAUCACUUGAGGCCAGGAGUUGGAGACCAGCCUGGGCAACAUAGCAAGACCCCAUCUCUACAAGAAAAGGAGAAAAAGUUAGCUGGGCAUGCUGAUGCAUUCUUGUAGUCCCAGCUAGUUGGGAGGCAGAGGCAGAAGGAUUGCUUAAGCCCAGGAGUCUAAGGCUGCAGUGAGCUGUAAUCGCACCACUGCCCUGCAACCUGGGUGACAGAGUGAGGCCAUGUCUCCAAAAUAAAUAAAUAAAUAAAUAAAUAAAUAAAUAAAUAAAUUAAUGUUUAAAAAGAUUUUUAAUAUACCAGUCACAUGGAUGUUAGUAUAAUGAACAACUAUAAACGACCAAUAUUUCACAAUCAG
rnacentral:lncRNA from 1 species